rnacentral:rRNA from 1 species
CCUACGGGAGGCAGCAGUGAGGAAUAUUGGACAAUGGGCGCAAGCCUGAUCCAGCCAUGCCGCGUGCAGGAAGAAGCAUCUAUGGUGUGUAAACUGCUUUUGUACAGGAAGAAACACUCCCUCGUGAGGGAGCUUGACGGUACUGUAAGAAUAAGGACCGGCUAACUCCGUGCCAGCAGCCGCGGUAAUACGGAGGGUCCGAGCGUUAUCCGGAAUCAUUGGGUUUAAAGGGUCCGUAGGCGGUUUAAUAAGUCAGUGGUGAAAUCUGGUCGCUCAACGAUCAAACGGCCAUUGAUACUGUUAGACUUGAAUUAUAAGGAAGUAACUAGAAUAUGUAGUGUAGCGGUGAAAUGCUUAGAUAUUACAUGGAAUACCAAUUGCGAAGGCAGGUUACUACUUAUGGAUUGACGCCGAUGGACGAAAGCGUGGGGAGCGAACAGGAUUAGAUACCCUGGUAGUCCACGCCGUAAACGAUGGAUACUAGCUGUUCGGAGCAAUCUGAGUGGCUAAGCGAAAGUGAUAAGUAUCCCACCUGGGGAGUACGUUCGCAAGAAUGAAACUCAAAGGAAUUGACGG